UACGUAGGGUCCAAGCGUUAUCCGGAAUUACUGGGCGUAAAGAGUUGCGUAGGUGGCAAGUUAAGCGAAUAGUGAAAUGACGGGGCUCAACCCCGUGCCCAUUAUUUGAACUGGCUAGCUAGAGAAUGAGAGAGGUACCUGGAAUUCCCAGUGUAGGAGUGAAAUCCGUAGAUAUUGGGAGGAACACCGAUGGCGUAGGCAGGGUACUGGCUUAUUUCUGACACUAAGGCACGAAAGCGUGGGGAGCAAACGGG
rnacentral:rRNA from 1 species